UUAUAAAUUUUAUUAAUAUAUUUUAACGUAUAUUAUUUAUAUUUAAUUAGAAUUUAGGAAUUUUGAGUAAUAAAUAUAUAAUUCACGUAUACUUAUUUAUUACAUUUUAAUAUUUUCAACGAUUUACGAAAUUGAAAAUGAUUUUAGAAUUUUAAGUUAAAACGAAUUCGAAUUACGAAAACACGAUCGAUUGAAUUUAGAAAACAAUCCUAAUCAUUUUGGAUUCAAACAACCUUAAAUCCUACUCCUAGCCCAAUUGGGAAAAGCCCAAACCAAAAACAAAAAUUAAACCCAAACCAAUACUCCCUCUCUCUUUUCAAAUUCACGUGGAAACAAGGCAAACCAAAACCCCUCCAUCCUCCUUCAACCUCACGCACAACACCAGCAACUCCUCUUCUCUCCCUUGUCAGCCGCCGCACCACGCUCACUGCCGGACCACCACCUGCACCGACGACCACCGUCGACCCUCGUGUCAUCGCCGCCACGUUGCCGCCCAGCCUGCGUCGCUGCGCCGCCGCGUUCCUGGCCCACACCGACCAAUCCACCUCCGGUCGCAGCCACCUCGCCUAGCCGCGCCACCCUGUCCGCCGGCCAGCACUCCCCUCUCCCUCUUGAAUUGGCGGAGAAUUCUCUUUAGGCGACUUUUGAAAGUGUUAAAGUGGCCUAUCAGUUUGUUUACACAAGUCUCUAAGGAUCAAUAAGCGUUGCCCAUCUACAGGUUUGAAGAUGAUGCAUCAUUGGGAUCGGGAUUAGAGAGUUUGUAGUUCUAUUCGUUUAAUUAAGUGAUUUAAUUUGUUAACUUGGAUUUGAAAUUUGUCGUACUAUCCGUAUUUCUUUAAUUCAGUUAAUUGGUUUGGACCUAAUAUGUAAUAGAUUAUUUAUGAACCUAAAAGUUAGUUUUAUGUUUUCCGCU